rnacentral:tRNA from 1 species
GCCCAUAUAGCUCAGGAGGCAGAGCGCAUCCUUGGUAAGGAUGAGGUCGCCGGUUCGACCCCGGCUAUGGGCUCCA